UGAGAGUGUGAUUGUUUCGGGUGGUUUCUUGUAUGAGCCCUUUCAGUUGUCGGUAUCUGAAUUGGAGCAUGAAUGGGUGAUUGGAGUUCCCCGUCAUGGUCUCUAGUGAUUUGAUGCGGCCGUUGUCUAUGGCGUGGAAGAGCCUCGGUAUGUCUUGUCCCAGCAGCUGGACCAACGUUCUUGGUUCCCUUCCUGGCGGGAAGACCUCAUUAUGGAUUAGAGGCAUCAUUGGGGAUGGCGUGGAGGUGAGCGAGAGUGGUACCGCCAGAGCUUGCCAUACCCGUACGGUCGCUUUGAUUAGGGGGUGUGGAGCAGCUAGCUGCCUACUUUGUUGGGGGUCCAGCCAAGGGAGG